rnacentral:rRNA from 1 species
CCUACGGGUGGCAGCAGUGAGGAAUAUUGGUCAAUGGACGAGAGUCUGAACCAGCCAAGCAGCGUGAAGGAUGAAUGCCCUAUGGGUUGUAAACUUCUUUUAUAAAGGAAUAAAACGAGGCACGUGUCCCUUUUUGCAUGUACUUUAUGAAUAAGGAUCGGCUAACUCCGUGCCAGCAGCCGCGGUAAUACGGAGGAUCCGAGCGUUAUCCGGAUUUAUUGGGUUUAAAGGGAGCGUAGAUGGGUUGUUAAGUCAGUUGUGAAAGUUUGCGGCUCAACCGUAGAAUUGCAUUUGAAACUGGCAGGCUGGAGUACAGAUGAGGUAGGCGGAAUUCGUGGUGUAGCGGUGAAAUGCUUAGAUAUCGCGAAGAACCCCGAUUGCGAAGGCAGCUUACUAAACUGUGACUGACAUUGAUGCUCGAAAGUGUGGGUAUCAAACAGGAUUAGAUACCCGAGUAGUC